CCGUUGGUUUCGACCGUGAGGGUUCAAGUCCCUCUAUCCCCAAAAGA
rnacentral:tRNA from 1 species